GCCGGGUACGGUGGCGCACGUCUGUAAUCCCAGAGGUUCUGGAGGCUGAGGCAGGAGGAUCACAAGUUCAAAGCCAGCCUCAGCAAAAACGAGGUGCUAAGCAACUCAGUGAGACCCUGUCUCUA
rnacentral:sRNA from 1 species